CCCUUAGAUGUUCUGGGCCGCACGCGUGCUACACUGAGUAAUUCAAUGGGUAAGGGAACGCUAGAGCAUUACCUAAUCUUGAAAUUUGCUCGUGAUGGGGAUCGACGGUUGCAAUUUUCCGUCGUGAACGAGGAAUACCUUGUAGGCGCAUGUCAUCAUCAUGCGCCGAAUACGUCCCUGCCCUUUGUACACACAGCCCGUCGCUCCUACCGAUUGAGUGAUCCGGUGAGGCUCUGGGACCUGGACGGAAAGAGCGUUUCGCUUGUUCUGUUUGGGAAACUUGGUCGAACCUUAUCAUUUAGAGGAAGGAGAAGUCGUAACA
rnacentral:rRNA from 1 species